GGUGCAGAGUAUCCGAGAGGCCUGCGGCGAACUCGUCGCCGGCGACUCGAAGGUGUGGUGGUUCCUUCGCGUCCCGGGCUCAGGCUCCGUGCGCUUCGCCGGUUUGCAGCGGCUCCUCUGGAGCUGGGCCUCCGCCGCCUGCUGCCGCGUGGGCUUGAAGGGUGCCUCCGCACUUGAGCCUUGAUGGAGUAGGAAGCACAAGGAAUCCAUCUCUCUACCUAGACAACAGUUGUACUGGCAGAAACCGUCUGAAGUAACUCUGGAGUCUAUUUGAAUUCUUGCAUCUUCCAGGAGAAAAUUUGGUUGGUAAAUUGAGGCAUUUUUAAAAUAUUUAAUCAUUCAUGAGUUGAGCUUCAUUCUUGAGUCAUGGAUGACAAGGCUUCUGUUGGAAAAAUCAGUGUCUCCUCAGACUCAGUAUCUACUCUUAAUAGUGAAGAUUUUGUCUUGGUUUCCAGGCAAGGAGAUGAGACACCAUCUACAAAUAAUGGAAGUGAUGACGAGAAAACAGGACUCAAGAUUAUAGGGAAUGGAAGUGAGCAGCAGCUGCAAAAAGAGCUAGCAGAUGUGCUGAUGGAUCCUCCAAUGGACGACCAGCCAGGGGACAAGGAACUUGUGGAAAGGUCGCAACUGGAUGGUGAAGGAGAUGGACCUCUUUCUAACCAACUCUCAGCUUCAUCCACCAUUAACCCUGUGCCAUUAGUAGGGCUCCAAAAACCAGAGAUGAGCUUGCCAGUGAAACCUGGACAAGGAGAUUCUGAAGGGUCAAGUCCUUUCACACCAGCUGCUGAUGAGGACAGUGUAGUUUUCAGCAAACUAACUUAUUUAGGCUGUGCCUCAGUAAAUGCUCCCAGGAGUGAAGUGGAAGCCUUAAGGAUGAUGUCCAUCUUAAGAAGCCAGUGUCAGAUUUCCCUAGAUGUAACCCUGUCAGUGCCGAAUGUAUCUGAAGGAACUGUGAGACUCUUAGAUCCUCAGACAAACACUGAAAUAGCAAACUACCCUAUCUACAAAAUCCUGUUCUGUGUCAGAGGGCAUGAUGGAACUCCUGAGAGUGACUGUUUUGCUUUCACUGAAAGUCAUUACAAUGCAGAGCUCUUCAGAAUACAUGUCUUCCGGUGCGAAAUACAAGAAGCUGUAAGCCGGAUACUUUACAGUUUUGCCACUGCCUUCCGCCGUUCCGCCAAGCAGACCCCACUUUCAGCAACUGCUGCACCCCAAACUCCUGACAGUGACAUCUUUACCUUCUCUGUGUCUUUAGAAAUAAAAGAAGAUGAUGGUAAAGGUUAUUUUAGUGCAGUUCCUAAAGAGAAGGACAGACAGUGCUUUAAACUUCGCCAAGGAACGGAUAAGAAGAUUGUCAUCUAUGUGCAACAAACAACUAAUAAAGAACUGGCCAUUGAAAGGUGUUUUGGUCUUCUCCUUAGCCCAGGAAAAGAUGUACGAAAUAGUGACAUGCACUUGUUAGAUUUGGAAUCUAUGGGCAAAAGUUCAGAUGGAAAGUCCUAUGUUAUCACUGGGAGCUGGAAUCCAAAAUCUCUGCCUUUUCAAGUUGUAAAUGAAGAAACUCCUAAAGAUAAAGUGCUGUUUAUGACCACAGCUGUUGAUUUGGUAAUAACAGAAGUACAGGAGCCUGUUCGAUUUCUCAUAGAGACAAAAGUCCGUGUUUGCUCACCUAAUGAAAGAUUAUUCUGGCCCUUCAGCAAACGUAGUACUACUGAAAAUUUCUUUUUGAAACUAAAACAGAUAAAGCAGAAGGAGAGAAAGAACAAUACUGACACUUUAUAUGAAGUUGUGUGCUUGGAAAGUGAAUCAGAGAGAGAGAGGAGGAAAACUACAGCCAGUCCCUCAAUUCGCCUGCCACAGUCUGGAUCUCAGAGUUCAAUGAUACCUUCUCCUCCAGAAGAUGAUGAAGAGGAAGAUAAUGAUGAACCUCUCUUGAGUGGAUUUGGUGAUGUAUCCAAAGAAUGUGCAGGAAAAAUUCUUGAAACAUGGGGAGAACUGCUGUCAAAAUGGCAUCUCAAUUUGAGUGUGAGACCAAAGCAGUUGUCAUCCUUAGUAAGGAGCGGUGUUCCUGAAGCUCUGCGAGGAGAAGUCUGGCAGCUGCUAGCAGGUUGUCACAACAACGACCACCUGGUAGAAAAAUACCGAAUUCUCAUUACAAAGGAGUCUCCCCAGGACAGUGCUAUCACUCGGGAUAUUAACCGGACAUUCCCAGCUCAUGACUAUUUUAAGGACACAGGAGGGGAUGGACAAGAUUCCUUAUAUAAAAUAUGCAAGGCAUAUUCUGUGUAUGAUGAAGAGAUUGGCUAUUGCCAGGGCCAGUCAUUUCUCGCUGCUGUUCUGCUUCUCCAUAUGCCUGAAGAACAGGCAUUCAGUGUUCUAGUCAAGAUCAUGUUUGACUAUGGUCUCAGGGAACUUUUCAAGCAAAACUUUGAAGAUUUACAUUGCAAAUUUUACCAGUUGGAGCGCCUCAUGCAGGAAUACAUCCCUGACCUGUACAACCACUUCCUGGAUAUAAGCCUUGAAGCGCACAUGUAUGCCUCCCAGUGGUUUCUUACACUUUUCACUGCAAAAUUCCCUCUCUACAUGGUCUUCCAUAUCAUUGACCUGCUUUUAUGUGAGGGAAUAAGUGUGAUUUUUAAUGUCGCCCUUGGAUUAUUAAAGACUUCUAAGGAUGACUUGCUGUUGACAGACUUUGAAGGUGCCUUGAAGUUCUUCAGGGUUCAGCUUCCUAAGAGAUACCGCUCAGAAGAAAAUGCAAAAAAACUAAUGGAAUUAGCUUGCAGCAUGAAGAUUAGUCAGAAGAAGUUGAAAAAAUAUGAGAAAGAGUAUCACACCAUGAGGGAACAGCAGGCCCAACAAGAAGACCCUAUCGAGCGAUUUGAGCGGGAGAACCGGCGUCUACAAGAAGCCAACAUGAGGUUGGAACAGGAAAAUGAUGACUUAGCCCAUGAGCUGGUGACCAGCAAGAUUGCGCUGCGGAAGGACCUGGAUAACGCUGAAGAGAAGGCAGAUGCCCUCAAUAAGGAGCUGCUGAUGACCAAACAGAAGUUGAUCGAUGCUGAAGAAGAGAAGAGACGGCUGGAAGACGAGUCUGCGCAGUUAAAAGAAAUGUGUCGUCGGGAACUUGACAAAGCAGAAUCUGAGAUUAGAAAAAACAGUUCUAUCAUUGGUGACUACAAGCAGAUUUGUUCUCAGUUGAGUGAAAGAUUGGAAAAGCAGCAGACAGCUAAUAAAGUGGAAAUUGAGAAAAUUCGGCAAAAAGUGGAUGACUGUGAGCGCUGCCGGGGAUUUUUCAACAAAGAAGGUCGCAUAAAGGGCAUGAGCUCAGCUAAGGAAGUUUUAGAUGAGGACACAGAUGAAGAGAAGGAGACACUCAAGAACCAGCUGAGAGAGAUGGAACUGGAGCUGGCGCAGACCAAGCUGCAGUUGGUGGAGGCCGAGUGUAAGAUCCAGGACCUGGAGCACCAUUUAGGCCUUGCCCUAAAUGAGGUACAGGCUGCCAAGAAGACAUGGUUUAACCGAACACUGAGCUCCAUAAAGACGGCAACGGGGGUUCAAGGGAAAGAGACUUGCUGAGUGAAGCGGCUGCCUCCAGACACCUUCAGAAAACACAACACCUUUUGUUGCCUUCUUUGGCCAGAUGUGUGAUUCUGUGACGUGUCCCAGGACCAGGAUGUAUCUAAGUCAGAUCCAUAGAAGCAUGUUGGUAGGUCAUUGGACCAGAGCUCGUGAUGCAGGCAGCCUCUGGGGUAAGGCUCCCCUGACUACUGACGCUAACAGGCCUGCUGGCUGAAUGACGCUCUGGACGCGCUCUGGGAAGCCAUCCUCGGUGUGAGCUCCCAGGCCUCUCUCCCUGGCGGGGGUCACGACCUCACCCAGCCCAAGGGCUGAGUUGACAUUGUCAGAGUUUUGGGGAUCCUUCAGGCUUUUGGGUUUUUUUCUAAACCUUUAAUCUUUUUUUUUUUUUAAAUAUACGUAUUAUAUGUAUUGGGGGGGGGGGGGGGGGGGUGCAGGGAUCAGUAACUCAGUUCUCUACUUCAGUGCCAGCAUAGGGUCCUCCAGGUAGACAUGGAGAAGCACUUUGUUUUCAGUAGGAGGGUUUCCUGGUUGUAGUUGCAGCCACCUAGUUUUGUUAAACUACACGAUGCACAGGUUUGGGGCUUGGCAUUAUUCACGUUUCUGAUCAAUUCUAUGCAACUCUCGUAGUUCCUGUUGUUCUUUAGUGUUAGCUGCCAAAACUUCACGGGGCUGGGCUGGGUGGCUUGACCGACGUGAGGCAGGAUUAAUCAUAACAUGGACAAAUCUUAUUUUGCUUCAUGUGUCGUGUGUGUGUGUGUGUGUGUGUGUGUGUGUGUGUGUAUAUAUAUAUAUAUAAAUAUCUUUUCCCAGUGCGCCCAACUGACAGUGUUUAAAUCCCAGACCAAGAUUGAUCUGCACAAGGUAAUUAUGUGGAUAUCUGGGCACUUGAUCUCACUCCGGGUUUGUCAGGUUUCCCUUCCUCCCUGCCCUCACAAGAGCUGGGAAAUGUUCCUUGACUAAAAGGUUCCUAGUGUUUUUGCACAACAGGUCAUACAAGCGAGAAAGACACUGCACUGUGUGUGUGUGUUUGUGUAAACGCAUGUGCGGGAUGUGCGUGCCGAGGCCCCGUCCUGCUGGCCCGUGUCCCUCCCCAGUGUGGCUGGGUGCAGACCUUGCUGUUCAGAUGGACUGCAGGUUCUCCCUUCAAAACUAUGGAAUGGAGGUUUUAGCACCUUUAAAAAAAUAAAUAAAUAAAUAACCUAGUCUUUUAAUUUAUAUAGCGGUAUGCUGACAGGCUGGCUCCGGGGGCCUCGUGUCUGCACGCAGGGCGCAGGUAGCUGUUCUGAGAGGCACUGGUCUGUGUAUAAAGAUACUUGCCUUGUUUUGUAUCUCUUUUCCCGGUGGCUGGCCUAGCGCUUGCUGAGGUCAUCUGUGAUAAGGGAGGUGACAAGCGGCAACCCCCCCCCACCACACCCUCCACCGCUUUGUGUCUUUCUUGUUCAGUUACCGAAACAGCUGUAAGCCCAUCUAAAACUAGGUGCGUGGACAUUGUGCUAGGGUAGUUCCAGUGUGUCAACUUUAUGAAUUGAAAUAUAAACCAGUAAAAUUGUAUUACUAUUCCUUUUGUUGGUUUUAUUUUAACAGCAUAUUCAUUAAAUAUUUUGGUACAAAGAGCAUCACUUUGUAGAAACCGGUUUCAUCAUUACGCGCUCCUGCCCUGUCUCCCUGCUCGCACGCACACUCCGAGAAGGGCAGCCUGCGUGCUGGCAGACACGUGUGCGCUCGGGCACCCCCCGCCCGCCUGCGCCCAGCGGCUCCAGGCUGCCGGCUUUGCGGGGUGCAGCGGGAGCAGCUGCACCUCUGUGAGGCUGAUGCCCUGCCCCGCCACGGCCAGCACGGAUGCCCCGCUGCGAAAUCAAGUGCCGCAGUGACAGGGAAGAAGAGCAGUCUCCCCAACCCUGCGGUUCUCCCCAUGUGACCUGCCCUCCGGGACCCCUUCUACACCCGGCCUCGGAUGGAAACGGGCUGAGAUGCAGGCUGCAAAGGAGGGAAGGCGGAGAUUUAUAAUCAGCCCAAUUCCACCAACAAGGAGACUCUCAGACUUGCAUGUUUUCACCGGGCAGAGCCUCUGUUUCACUAGUACCCAGAGAAGGACCUGGCACGUAAGGGCACUCAGCUGCUUGAUGAGGACGGGAAUGUACGUAGUACUAGUCAGCUAGAUCUCAUACAACCUUCUAUAGAUGCCAAAGCCACAUUCGACGUACAUACAGAUACUGUAUGGGGAAAAAACGUUGUUCCAGCAACCUUCAAAGUUAGUAAUAACAAGAAAAUUGCUACUUAGAGACAUAUAAAACACAAAAUUCAUUUUAAUCUCUAUAUAUCAAAUACGGCCUCAGCAAAGAACAUCUAACACAUAUGAAAUGUAUUUAUGGGACACACUAAAUGAAGCAAACCCUUACUAAAAUAUUUGGCCUGACCCUCACAUCUUUUAAAUGAACUCCACGAUGGUUGAGUAAGGUGGGAAAUCAAUCAUCUAGCUUCCUAAACUGGAAAAGACAGAUGAAUUGUCUGUUUAGUCUCUGCAGACUGGGUAUUUACCAUUCUGAGUCUUGCAAAGUUGGUUCUGCAAAUAGUUAGCUUAACUCAGUCAAUUACAUAUUUUUCCAUAGUUACCUUAAUAUUUUGGUUGUGGUUUUUUUUUCAUUUCUAUUGCUUUUUCUUUUUAUGGCUUCUUGCUGCUGUUGUAUUAGGGCAUACAACACAGAUCAGAGAUUUCAUUUCUCAGAGAAGUUUCUCUCCUUGAGAAAUUGGCACUUUGAUCCUCUGCUUGUGUAACAGCUACAUAUAAAUGGAUCCUACCAGCAUUGUUACCAGUCUUGCUGCUUAUGAAAUUCUAGCACUUUGGCCAAAAGGGUGCCCUGAUAUUAAAGUCUUCUUAGGUGAACUCUUCCCACCACCAAAUUCUUUUAUUUAAACAUGGCUGUGUGUGUAAUUCACAUAUAUGUAAUAUCAUAAGUUUCUACACACAUACACACAUUUAACUCGUAAAAGUGAAAUGUCUCUCUUGAAUAAAAAGUAAUUACAAGGGUAUUAAAACAAAUGCUGAAAAUAACUAUUUUACAUUUAGAUCAUAAAAAUUUUAAAGGUAAUAUCAUGACAUAAGACCUAGGAGAUCAAACACAUCCUGUAUGAUUGUCAUAUAUGCACGUUGUGUUCAUUGACUUUUAGUUAUUUUUCUCUUUAAUCAGAAAAUAAAAGAGCUUACCUUUGUUUACUGAGACCACAGCUUACAGUCACUAGAUCUCAGCCUAUUUUAUACAAGUGAUAUGGCUACGAAGGUCCGAGGAGAACGAGAAUAAAGUGAGAUAAACGUGCUGAAAACUGCUUAAAAGUAUUAACCUGAAAUACACAGAGGGUCCAACACUAGUUUUAAAAAUACAUUAACGAGGUAUUCCCAGCUCUUCAAUUAAUAACGGUGACUGACUGAUUCAUGAUUUUCAAACAUUCACCCGAAUUUUAAAAAAAGAAGGAAAGGCUAAAUAGCAGAAAAAUCUAUAAGUGGUUUGUUCCCAGGUUAACGAUUUCAGAAAGACUACAAAUGACUCGGGACUCCUUGCUGCACGCACCAUGCACUGCAUCUAGUCAGCAUGAGGUAUGUUGGGAAUCUAUUGGACCAAUUACCUUGCACAAGAGAGGGGGUGCUCCUGCAGCCAGAAGAGACCAGGGCUGCAGGCCACAUCCCUGGCUGGGUGCCAGCCCCCAUGCAAAGAAUAUGGCUUCAAGGAGGACCCCUAUCUCUGAGAAAUUAUAAUAGCGCUAACUGACGCAGUCAGGAAUGCAACUACCCAAUUUAUGUGCUACAAAAGUUUAAAAACUGUCAGGAGAUAGCACAGCUCACACACUGAGUCUAAGUUCUACAUUGGUCUGUAAACUCCCUGACAAGAGACUAUGCUAGGAGGGGUUAAGUACAGAUAUUGCUAGGUUUCCAAAGGAAAGGUUUUAAAACAGACACCGUGGCUUUGAAUAAAGUAUUGCUCUUCUUUAAAAUGCUCAGUCAUUGCUUUCCAAAAGAAGGUGUCAGAGUGGUGUAUCUGAAAGCUGGAAAGCCUCAGAGGGUCACAAUGCUCUUAAGACCAAGACAGAAAUUGCCAUUUCAAGCCAGACAACCUGAUGGUUCUAGAAGUCAGAGAAGAAAUCUUGAGGGCCCAAGUGAAUAAUAAGUGGCGCGACGCUCAGAGGCUGGCAAUAGGGGCUGUCAAUGAAAAAACCGCCUACAGUGGAGAAAAGAGCAGAGAAGCAACACUUGGUGUUAAUGUCACAGAAUUUGGUGAAGCCAAGAGCUUCAUUUAUAUUUCUCUGCUCUUUCAGCUGUAAGUGGAAUUUUCAUUACAAAAUGGAGGGGUGGGAAGGGCAGAAGGGGGGGAGGGGACACUUAAUUCAUUACAAAAUUUCAACAGUUGAACUUGCAUGGUUACCACUUCUAACAAAGGACUGACAGCUCAAUUAUUUUAAGUAAAGCAGAGAAAUGUAAAAGUUUGCAGCAACUGGGCAGGUUUACAACAUGGUUAGUAACUUCCAACAAACAACAAAAUUAAAAAAAAAAAAAAAAAGACUUGGUAGAAACCAUUUGAAAUGACUGCCAUCAUGUUGGAAAACAGCACAGCUCCCUUUUUCACCAUCAUAGAGGGGUUAAAUCAUGAAGCUGAGUCAGCUACUUCAAAAUAAUUUUCUAAAGAGAAAUCUCCAGAGAGAUUCCAACUUGGAAUGCAAAUUUGACAAUCAAUUUCAAAUAACAAUCUGGCUGCAGCUGCCAAUUAAUAGUAUUCCAAACACAGAGAGGACUAUUGUAAAUAUUGAAUUAAUAAAAACUGGACACUACCAGCCAUGCUUUUUCUUCUCAGUGAUGGCUCUGUUUCAUCCAUAGGUCAGCAAAAUGAAUCAGUGAAACAUGAAAACUCCCAGCUGCAAUGGGCCCUCAGGUUUAUGUCUAGCCACUUAAUGCACAGGAUGAGAAUGCAUCACUCAACAAGAACUGGGACAAUCGAAGAGCAAGUUUUUAUGGGGACCCUGUUGCUGCUUUAGAUUCUGAUGUAAUUGAAGAGGAAAAGAGACCUUUCCAUGAAUCCCAGAAAAAUCGCUAAUCUUCUAUCUGCAUGAAAAAAGCCAGGGAAGUGAACACAGUAUCUUACAGAGUGAAGAAGGCCACAAGAACAAGAGAGAGUGAUUGAUCGAUUAAUUUAUUCUCUUUCAAAACUUGGAAAUUAGGAAACUAAAUCACAUUCCUCCUUCCCCAUCUCUGGGUAGUGCCAUCAUUUUAAGAAGCAAUGCUCGAAUCACAGAAUAUACCUUUCUCAUGGGGAUGCCCUUGUCCAGCAGUACAAAGGGCUUACAAAAUUAGUCAGUCAACAUGAAGCAUUCUGGAGGAGACCCACAAACCUCUCACAGAUCUCCUAUUUUGAAAUUGCUAAUAUUUUGAUAAUUGGUAUUUUCCACUCAAAAUUAAGAUGGCUAUAUCACAGGAAGAAUGAUAUUCAGAAAGCAAUUUCAUUUGUGUGAGUGGCCAUGAAUUCUAAAGAUCAAAAGCAAUGCCAUUGAUGAAUAUUCUCAAGGGACUCUAGAAAUCCAUAAUCGUUCUCAAUUUGGCACAUCACAAUACUGUAGGAGAAACAGGGAUGACUGUCAAGACUCAAAGCACAGCUUUCUGUGCAGGCCUCAGCUCCCCAGAAACACAGCUCUAACCAGAGUCGUGACCAGGGGUUUAUCUUCUUAACGGCUACUGCCGGCAUUGGCAUGGCAAAUCUGGAAAGAUUAACUACUUUCUUAAUUUUGUAAUAAACAAGUUCUUGUGGCCUCACAGACUUCUGCAUACUCAAGCAUGAUUUGAAAUCUGCUCCUAUCUCUAUUCUAGUAUUUAACCUAUGGAGAAAUCACAAAGCAGCAACAGCAGGUGUUCAAGAGCACCAGAUGAUCAGAGGGAAAUUACCCCCACAUGCAACAGCUUUACAAAGGCCAAAAGACAUAUUUACCUUACAGCCAAAAUAAAGCAUUGUUUUAGUAGGUUGGCAUCACAGUAACAUUUAAAAACCAAAUCUUUUAUGUGAAAAAUGGGGGCAUCAAAUUUCACCAGCUUUGGAAGUCAGUUAUAUGGCACAUGGAAGAGAGGAGCCUUCUGAAGUGGGGGCUCAGAGGCCGCAGGGUGAAAGUAUAAUGUUAGAGGAAAGGGAGGCACAAGAGAGAAAAAUUAAAAAGACUGAGGAAAAACAUGAAUGCAGCUUAAAGCCUAGACACACCCGUGUUUUAAAGAGAAAAAUUCAGCUCUAAGUAAACCUGUACUAAAGAACGUGGGACUUACGAUGUCUGAAAGAGAGACGAAGAAUUAACAGCCUGCCCCAGCAGGCAGAUGCUCUGGCGCUCACACAAGACACACCACAAUGGGACUAGUGAGUCAAAAUGUAUCUGGAUCAACUGCCCAGACCUAAUUCACAGGAGGCAUGAGGUGGUCAGGAUACCCAGGAAGGCGGCUGCAUGGUAAAAGCAAGUGGCCAAAACCAAAGGAGCUGGAGAAUGUGAAUUUAGAACAAAUUCUGGGUGAAAACGUUUUCUCAAAUGAGUUCUCAAUUCCUUAUCACCCCACAUCCGGGGAUCUGGGGACUCUGGGGAAGUCCUGACCAAACCUGAGCAUUCCAGAGGAGACACUCAGGUCAAGGAUGAGACCCCAGACUUGGUACUUUGCCAGAGAGAAGACUCACCCAAAUGUUUGACCCUUGCAGCUUCUCCACAUCUUUCCAGUCUAUCUUAAUGGGGAAAGUGGUCAAACUGUUCAUGUUCAUUUUCUACUUAUUUUUUAGAGUUAUGAAAUCAAAUGGAGCCUCCACUUAGCGGUGUCUUAAGGACCCAUCAUUUUCAUCUGAACAAAAAUGGAAAAGCUGAUGCAUGAGGAGAGAAAGCAUAAUGAAGGGCCCUGAGGCUCGUGUGGAGGACUAACACCACAAGUAGCAGGACAUUCAAGGUCCUUCCCCACUGUACACGUGCACACCCAGCCCAGGGUCGCACCGAUACGCACUCACACGUGCACACGCACACACUCACACUCGUGCGCACACACACUCUCUUCUUCUCUCAAUGGCAAACAUCCUGCAGAUGGCUGACCUGUAACAUGUAGCGCCUGAGUUAGGGAAAAUGUCUACGAGGGCAUAUCACUGACUCCAAACCUACUGCCUCCAUUGCCACAUAAACCUCAUUCAAAAGUUAUCCAAAGGGCCACUGAGGUUCACUUCUGCAUAUGCUUUUAUUUUUUAUUUUUGGCAGGAGAGGAGACACUCCUAUGAUUUUGUAACAUGCUGCACAGACUCUGUGCGGGAACCACUUCAAAGACACUGCCAGUGACACCCUGUCACCACGCUGGGGCCCACUGACGCCACCUCUAAAGCAAAAUUUAUGGGAAAGGAUGAUGGCUACAAAUUUGAAGUGAACAUUUCCUAACCCUAACUCAAGUCACCCAGAUGGUUUCAAGCCAGAGACUUCAAUGCAGCCAUGUAACCGGCGAGCAGUUCAGCUGGAAACCGGGUAUGGCCCUUCAGUAGCCUUUGAAUGGAGUAUAAGUUGGCUGUAAGAAGAACUACUUAAAAUAUUUAAUUUCAAUAUGGUCAGAAACAGGCAAUUAGAACAAGCAGUCCUUCAAUCAGGCAAAGCAGAGAGAAGAGCAACUCCAACCAAACCGAGAACCACAAGGUUGUGGCGUUUUCAAAGGGAAUUUAAGUUGGGUCACUAGAAUGAACAGGUCUGAGAUCCUCCAAUUCACUUAAAGAAACCCUGGAUACACACUGCGCUUUAGACUGCUGUGACAGCACUGCUAAGAGGAGAGAUCAGAAAGCUGGUGUACGUACCAUAGGCAGGGGCGGCUGUGCUGUAACCAUACGGCGCUCCAUAGCCUAGUGCAAAGAAGAAGAAAGCAAUCAGUCCCGAACAAAGGGCAACCGACCGGUACCAGCCCAAUUCACAAGUACUGCCUGGCCCAGCACCUUGGGCCCUGAGGACUUCUUCCAGAUGCUGGAUGAAUGAGAACUAUACCCCGAAUGGCCAAACCCUCCAUUCCCGCUUAGCAUGACCUAUAGCGUUCUCCUGACCUACCAGAGCAUUCUUUCUCCUUGCACUUAUGACACUGUAUUAUAAUUAUCGACCCCAUGUCUGUGUCCCCUACUAGAGCGACAGACACCAAGUCUUAGACAUUUCUGUAUCACCGCAACUUGGAAGAAGGUCUGGCACAUAGUAACCACACACUAAAUAUAAUUUAUUGAACAAAUUUGUCUCCUCUCCCUAAACUUAAAAUCACUCAAGUUACCAAUUUCUUUAAAGCUGGAAAGCACAACUUUCCAGGUCUCUUGAGAAAGCAGUGACAGGACAGGCUGAAGUCUCAAGUGCAGAUCGGGUUGUGGGCUCGGGGACAAGGUCCACGUCUCCUGGUAUCUGAAUUCCUGGCCCCAGCACAGGGUCUCUCAGUAAAUGUUGGCAAAACUGACAUUAGCCUCUGGUGCCUAUGAAAAAGGCUCAUACUGUCAAUAAAAACAAGUCUGAAGAACA